CGCGUGAGCAGCUUGGAGAAAGUGAGCCGAACAAGAGCUGAUCCCAACGAAACUUUUUGGAGACGUGUUCAUUCGGCUAUCCAAAGAGCAAUAAAUUCAUCUACUUUGGCUGCUAGUAUGCUGUCGCACUGAAACCCACACCAGAUUUCGAAGUUGUGAAGCGGGCGCCCGACUCCUAAAGCCAUUGUCAAAGAACUUCUAACCCAGGACCUACUUGUUCCCAGCGAAGCUAUUGCAGAAGGAAAUAACUUAGAGCAAAGAUUAUCAAGAAUGUAUUUAAACUUAUUCCAUAAUCAACUAAACCAGGUGAUGAUACUUUGACAGCCGUACCAAAGUCUAUAGAGAUAGCCAAACACUUCACCCCCAAAGGAUACCAGAUCAUCGGAGACAACCUGAAUCUUUGUAUUAAUGCUAGGCAUAAGUACAGUGAAGCAAUGAAAAAAAUCCAUCCAUCACGGUUUAUAUGAUGAUGUCUAAUUAUAUAUUUAUAGUGAUAAUACACAAAUAACUCUUGAGUAAAAUGUAUGUUGCCAGUUAAAUAAAUAUUUGACCAAAAAUUGUCA